AUUGAACGCUGGCGGCAGGCCUAACACAUGCAAGUCGAGCGAGCGGAGGACGGGGGAGUAAUGUAUGGGGACUGCCCGUUAGAGGGGGAUAACUACUGGAAACGGUGGCUAAUACAGCAUACUGUCGGAUAACCCAUAUGGGAGUAGCUCGUGGGUAGGGUAAUGGCUUACCUAGACGACGAUCCCUAGCUGGUCUGAGAGGAUGAUCAGCCACACUGGGACUGAGACACGGCCCAGACUCCUACGGAGGCAGCAGUGGGGAAUAUUGCACAAUGGGCGCAAGCCUGAUGCAGCCAUGCCGCGUGUAUGAAGAAGGCCCUAGGGUUUUAAAGUACUUUCAUUCGGGAGGCGUUACCGACAGAAGAAGCACCGGCUAACUCCGUGCCAGCCGCCGCGGUAAUAC
rnacentral:rRNA from 1 species